rnacentral:misc_RNA from 1 species
UAUUACUUUGUGUCUCUUAGUCAACCUGAUCUGGUCUAUGUUCGUGGGGAGGGCAUCAUGGGCAUGUCCACACCAGUGUCCACAGCAGUGUCCACAGCAAUGUCCACCCCAUGGCCACCCCAUGCCCACUCCCCCCGCACUCGCCCAUGCUGUCGCACAGACCAAAGCAGGCACUCCCGCACCCACUCCCUCAUAUCGGGUGCACCAUCCAGCACACCCCCCACUAAUGAUCCUUCCGCAGGUUCACCUACGGAAA